rnacentral:piRNA from 1 species
UCCCACUUUGUACUCUAUUUCUGUGUC